GAUGUGCUGUAAUGAUUGAUUGCGAUUUACAUCAACCGUCUUGUACGAACAACUAGUAGAAUAUUCAAAUUUUUCAAAUAAGAAGAGGUUUGUUCUUAAAUAAUGAGAACCAUACAAGAAUUGAUAACGUCGUUGAGAAAAAUAUAAAUCAAGACGUAAAAUUAAGGGUGAAAAGGAAAAAGUAUUGUAUAGUAAUUAGGAAGAUUCGAUUGUCUGAAACUGAAUUUACUUAUUUUCUAUUGCUGAAACAUUUUUUUCAAAAGUUUGUGUUUUCAAACACUCUGUUAAUAUUCUAAGAGGACUUCCCAAGAAGCUAACAACCGUGAAGACCAGCAACAACUGUAUUAUUCUAAUCAUCGAGAGAAGAUCAAAUCGAAUUGGAUUUUUAAAGCCGCAACUCAUUAACUGAUGAAGCAAAAAUAAGUAUCGAUAUCUAAGGUUAAGAUAGAAGAAUCUUUGUUCUGUCAGAGUCUUUGAUUUUGGUCCUUGUUUUAACUUACGUAUUGUUUACAAUCAUCUCUUCAUUACUGAAUUCUUUUUCAUUGUUGGCAUUGUUUGGUUUAAUUUGUAUGCAUAUUUUCAUGUUUUUGGUGUAACUGUAACAAUUUUUGUUUGUUGAUUUUAUACAAAAAGUUGAACUUUGAAAGUAAGUACUAGUAAUAAAUCAAAAUUCUGUAUAUAUAAAUAAGGUGGUCCAGAAGUAACAAAUAUAGUUUUUUUACUUUAUUGAGUUUUAAAUUAUAAUCAUACCAUCGCCUAUUUUUAUUUCCAAUCUGUAAACUUUUGUGCAAAACUUUAUUAUUCUCUUUCAACCCCCUUGGAGCAAAAGCCAUCCCUUUUUAAAUUAUCAAUGGAA